ACACCUCAACUCUCGUGGUUUGCCAUGAUGAGCUUGGACUUUGGGGGUUUUGUUGGCCUGUUGGCCAGCUCCUCUUAAAUGAAUUAGCUUGCCAGUGUUUGGUGGCGUCACAGGUGUGAUAACUAUCUACGCUUGUGGUUUCCCACCAGAUAACCUUCAGCAAUGGAGGUUCGCUGGAGCUUAUAAAUGUCUCUCCUCAGCGAGGACACAUUUUGACC
rnacentral:misc_RNA from 1 species